rnacentral:rRNA from 1 species
UACGGAGGAUCCAAGCGUUAUCCGGAAUUACUGGGCGUAAAGAGUUGCGUAGGUGGCAUAGUAAGCAGAUAGUGAAAGCGUGGGGCUCAACCUCAUAUCCAUUAUUUGAACUGCUAAGCUAGAGGGCGAGAGAGGUUACUAGAAUUCCUUGUGUAGGAGUGAAAUCCGUAGAUAUAAGGAGGAAUACCGAUGGCGUAGGCAGGUAACUGGCUCGUCCCUGACACUAAGGCACGAAAGCGUGGGGAGCGACCGGG